UAAUUCGUACGUGCGAAACAGACGGUUGGUUGCAUUAGCCGAUUUUCCAGGAAGGUCUCGGUUUAGGGCCACAACCGAACCUUCAAAGGAGGUAAAUUUUUGUGACCAGUUUUCGGCGGGCAAAGGGACCCAGGUGGGCCUGGGUGCGUUGGAAGGUUCUGCUCUAUCGACUGUACCUAACAGGCUCGCACCGCCAUUCGUGGCAGCCAAGGUAGUGUCGGUUUAGAAGCUUGAGGUUAAGUCGGUACACAGUGCGUACGUGGGACUACUUGUCGACUGCGACUUAGAAAUGUCGAUCAGCUCGAACAUCCCCGUGGGAAGACGCGCUGAUAACUGAAGAAUGUAUCUUUAGUCAACGGCUGACCAUCAAAGGACAUAGCCGCUUGAGUCUGAAAUCGACAGAAAAGAUAAAUCUGAAAACAACUGCGCAGUUGAGCGGACGUAUGAGAAUCGCGCUCCGCAGAUUUCGAGUACCGGGUUCUCUACCUCCUGGAUCCUGCGUUCCAGGUCCGUUACCUGGUGAAACUCGACUUCCAGGACAAGCGCACCGUAGUUUCUGCGCUCCAGGUCCGCUACCUGGUGAAACUCGACUUCCAGAACAAACGCUCCGCGGUUUCUGCGCUCCAGGUCUGCUACUUGGUAAAACUCGACUGCCAGGACAAACGCACCGUAGUUUCUGCGCUCCAGGUCCGCUAACUCGUGAAACUAUCCAUAUAACGAUAUGAUGUUCAUAAUUUCUAAAAAAUUUAUAUUUUGUUAGAUGCAGUAACGAGGAGCUCACAUUUAGCGAGACGACGAGUAAUCAUUAUAAGUUCAGGUUUUUUUCAGAUGUGCUUCAUAAAUAUAUAAAUCCGUAAAUAACGGAAAAAAUGGA